GACGAACGCUGGCGGCGUGCCUAAUACAUGCAAGUCGAACGCAGUGGGGACGGGUGAGUAACACGUGGGUAACCUCCCAUCAGAGGGGAUAACACUUGGAAACAGGUGCUAAACCGCUACUGAUGGAUGGACCCGCGGUGCAUUAGCUAGUUGGUGAGGUAACGGCUCACCAAGGCCACGAUGCAUAGCAGAGCUGAGAGGGUGGUCGGCCACACGGGGACUGAGAAACGGCCCAGACUCGUACGGGAGGCAGCAGUAAGGAAUCUUCGGCAAUGGACGAAAGUCUGACCGAGCAACGGCGCGUGAGUGAAGAAGGUUUUCGGAUCGUAAGACUCUGUUGUUAGAGAAGCGGUAGCUAACCAGAAAGCCACGGCUAACUACGUGCCAGCAGCCGCGGUAAUUC
rnacentral:rRNA from 1 species